UACGGAGGAUCCGAGCGUUAUCCGGAUUUAUUGGGUUUAAAGGGAGCGUAGGCGGGUUGUUAAGUCAGUUGUGAAAGUUUGCGGCUCAACCGUAAAAUUGCAGUUGAUACUGGCAUCCUUGAGUACAGUAGAGGUAGGCGGAAUUCGUGGUGUAGCGGUGAAAUGCUUAGAUAUCACGAAGAACUCCGAUUGCGAAGGCAGCCUGCUGGACUGUAACUGACGCUGAUGCCCGAAAGUGUGGGUAUCAAACAGG
rnacentral:rRNA from 1 species